UGGUGCAAUCUCGGCUCACUGCAACCUCUGCCUCCUGGGUUCAAGUGAUUCUUCCGCCUCAGCCUCCCAAGUAGCUGGGAUUACAGGCACCCGCCAUCAUGCCUGGCUAAUUUUGGUAUUUUUAGUAGAGAUGGGGUUUGGCCAUGUUGGCUACAAUAUGGAUGAAUCUUGAAAGCACUGUACUAAGUGAAAGAAGCUGGACAGCAAUGACUGUAUGAAAAGAAAUCAAAUCGCUGGUUACCAGGGUUUGAGGAGGGUGGGGGAAAAAAGACUGUAAAGGAAUAAGAGGGAACUUUUUGCGGUGCUGAAUAUAUUCUAUGUCUUGAUUACAAUGGUAGUUACAUGGCUAUAUCUAUUUGUCAAAAUUCCUAGUUAGAACUGUGCCCCUGAAAAAGGCGACCUUUUUUUUUUUUGAGAAAGGUCUUGCUUGGUUGCCCAGGCUGGAGUGCAGUGGCACAAUCAAGGCCCACUGCAGCCUCUACCUGCUGGGCUAAAAUGAUUCUCCUGCCUCAGCCUCGUGAAUACCUGGGACCACAGGCAUGCACCACCACACCCUGCUAAUUUUUUUUUUUUUUUAUUUUUUGUAGAGAUGGGAUCUUCCUAUGUUGCCCAAGCUGGUCCUGAACUCUUGGGCUCAAGUGAUCCUCUGGCUUCUGCCUCCCAAAUUGCUGGGUUACAGGCAUGAGCCACCACACCUGGCCAAAAUAGUGACUUUUACAGUAAAUUAUACCUCAGUAAAUCUGUGAGAGCGAUGAUAAAAGAGAGAGAGAAAAUGAGAGAGACUCAAAGGCACUGUAUGGAAACCAAAUGCAAUGUGUAAACUUUGAUUAGAGUCUAGUUCAAAACAAAGUAACUGUAAAGAGCAUUAAGCAAUAAGUGAAAAUGAAAAAAUUAAUUUCCAGAUGAUAUUAGAGAAUUGUAAAGUUUUCUUAGGUAUUAUAAUAUGAUUAUGUUUAUGUAAUUUGUCCUUACUCUUAGGAUAUGCAUAUCAAAGUAUUUAGGGGUAAAAUGUCUUGUGAUAUACUUUGAAAUUGUUAGUCAUGAAGAGAUUGAGAUAGUUAAAUACAUAUGGCAAAAUAUUAACAAUUAUUGAACCUAGUUCAUUGGUGUGUUUAUUAACAAUACUCUUUCAGUUUCUCUGUAUGUUUGAAAUAUUUCAUAGAAAAAUGAUGGGGAAACUUGAACUUAAUAAAAUUGCUUAAGUUCUAAAAACUUUUGCAAAAACAUUUAUUAUUUAUUCUGCAAAAGUCAAAAGUGAAAAUAUUAGCAAAUGACUAUCAUAUAAUUUUGUCAGAAAAAUUACACAUGAAAAAUGAAUUUCUUCUAUAAAGUAUAGCAUAGUCACAAUUAUUUGCUAAGAUAAAAUAGAUUUAGUUUUAUGAUUUUGGUUUUUUUUUAUAAUGUAAUUUUUUUUCUUUUACUCCUUACUGCCAAAUGUUGGUCCCUCUGUUAAGGAGAUUCAUUUAAGUAUCCUUUUCUGAUAAAAAUUAUCCUCCAAUAGAAAUGCUAUCUAUGCUAUGUAGACCAUAAUGGAAAAGUUAAUAAAAUGUGCUUGCAAUGUACAGGUAGGUGGCAGCAAUGUUUACAAAAUAGUUUUACCAUGCUAUGAGUUGUUAAGGUCUGCAAUGCGUCAUUAAUUGUAAAGUGCUAUAUAAAUUAACUGAUCUUUACAUUUCCUAAAUUACCUUUGUGUCAACCAUUGCUUAUUGGUUAUAGUUAUAUUCUAUUAUGUACACAUUGUUUCUCUUAACUCAAGAUCACAACAAAUAACACUAUUCUGUAGAUCUCCAUUCUGCAUCCUAUAAGAUAGGAUAGUUUACUUCUAGUCAACUUAUUUUCUACUCACACAAAGGAAAUUUUGUCAUUGAAAACACAUUAAGAUUUUCAAAAGCUUAAUAAAAUGGUUCUGCAUUAUAAUUUUACUCUUGAGAGGACUUAAAUUACCCUGAGUGAAAAUUGGCAAGUAAUGUAGGAUACUAUUUUUAAAUUUCAGGCAGUCAUUGCUUUGCAAAGUAGUACAGGACCCUUAAAAAGACCAUGUAAGCUGAAACCAUGCAAACCGAUCUUUGCUUGGGAAAAAUUCUGAUUGUUUCAUGACCUUUAAAAAAAAAUUAUCAGCUGGAGGCGGUGGCUAACGCCUGUAAUCCCAGCACUUUGGGAGACUGAGGCUGGCGGAUCACCUGAGGUCAGGAGUUCAAGAUCAGCCUGGCCAACGUGGCGAAACCCCGUCUCUACUAAAAAUACAAAAAUUAGCUGGGCGCAGUGGCUCACGCCUGUAAUCCCAGCACUUUGGGAGGCCGAGGCAGGCGGAUCACGAGGUCAGGAGAUCGAGACCGUCCUGGCUAACAUGGUGAAACCCUGUCUCUACUAAAAAAUACAAAACAAUUAGCCGAGCGUGGUGGCGGGUGCCUGUAGUCCCAGCUACUCGGGGGGCUGAGGCAGG
rnacentral:lncRNA from 1 species